CGUGGGUACGUACGUGCGCAUAUAAAAGCGUCUCGUUAAUUUCCGGAGUGAAUAAAAGUAAAAAAAUAAAACAAAAAUAUGUAUAAAAAACUAGUAAUAAAAAUUUGUACCCGCGUAUAAGCAUACCUAUAAGUCUGCGAUAUUUUCGUUUGAAAUCGGUAAGCUUUUCGCUCCGUCAAAGGCCGCGGCGUACCAUACCUACCUAACCUAUGAGCCCGCCAGUACAUUUUAUUUGCGCGACCUUUACAUCGGAAAUAAUUGGUCGGAGACCCGUGCCAUCGAAAAAAACCACACACGAAACCACUAUUAUACAUAAUAGUAUUAUUACACAUCAAAGGACGUGAAUAUAUUAUAAUUUUACCAAUACAAAAUCAAAGAUAUUUUCCCUUUUCUCCUAUCACGCAUCACUCUCGCCUUAAUGGUUUCAUCGCGAACAACCGGACCGUACCAAUACGGGUUUUUAUUUUU